GGUCGCUUGGUGCAGCGGUCAGAAACCUGGCAUUACUCUCUGCGGGUGUGGAGGGCUCGUUGGUUCGAAUCCAACAGCGAUCA